CCCCCGCUCGCCGCGCCGAGCCGCUCGCCCCGCCUCCUCCCGUUCGUCGUGUCGGCCGCCGCGUUGCUAUCCAGGCGCUACCUGCUGCGGAAGAAGCCCACCGGGCGCCAUCCUCUAGUCCGCCCACGCCAUCUUCAGUCUUCCAUCGGCGCCGACGGCAAUAGCCGAAGCGGAGCAGCGCACGAGUUCCUGGCUGACCUGCCGCGCGACGAGGCAGUCGUGGCCGGGCCAGGCAGUCCCGACACCUAGGAUUCGCACGCCGUGGUCGACUCCUGCCUCAAACAUCAAAGCAUGAAAGAUUCCAUCGAUGGAUCCCCUAUGUUCUGCUUAGAGCUGUAGAUGACUUCGAUUCCAACACGAAUCGAUCUUUCUUCCUUACAAAAAAGAUUUGAUGAAGUUUGGGCGAGCGAGGGGCCGUGCACUGCAACGGGAAAAAAUGACUUGAAUGGAAUUGUAGCACAAUACUUAGCAAGAUAACUCUUAGGAGAUUGCAUUUUCUAUUAUUCAGGUAAACUUAGCAAAUUUACUGAAACCAAACAGUAGAGUGCUUAUUAUUAAAUUACAUAGAGGUAUUAAACUUGACACAAGAAGGGCAGACAUAAGCCUAUACCUCAAAACUGCAAAAUUUCUCCAUUAUCUUUUCUUGCAGCUAUUUAGUACCCUAUGAAUGGCAGUAAAAGAGAAUAUACCACCACAAAAAAUGCUGAAAUAGUAGUAACAGAAAGGACGUGCUCUAAUGUGCUAGAAUUAGUUAGUUAUUACAUACCACAAGAGGCCAACCAGUGACAACGAAUACAUCCAGUGAGUACCAUCAAUUGUUGAAAAUGCGUGUGCUUCUUGGAUGUCAAGACCGAGCUCGCCAAGCAAACAAGUCAGUUGUAAAUGUAUAAGUGACAGUAUAAGAAUUGAACCAGACACUGAGUAGUGGAUCUGGUCUCAAUGUACUUUACACUGAAGUUCAAGUGAUUUCAGUACAAUGACAUUAAUUUUGAUGCGUGUUAGAGAAAAGGUGAUUCCAGUAAUUCGCAUAAAUUUUUGAAAAUGUGUUUGUUAGAAGCUUGUAUAUCAUACAUGGAUUGGACAACAUACAUGAUUAUCUCCUUUCAGACUGUUCUGGGUUUCUAGAUCAGAAGGAAUUGGUUCUUGAUAGCCCUUCGGGUCUCAGAGAAUUCAGAAGAAGUUCUUACAACAGUCGUUACUGGAUAAAUCAUGUAUGAUGCCAUACUUGCACCCUCAUUUGCAGCUUAUUUCAGGUUGUUGCUCAAUCAGGUGAGUUUGUCUUUUCUGCUUUUCAGUUCACAUCUGUUGGCAUGAAUUUACCCGUGCACUUGGUACUAGCACUGAUGAUAAUUUGGACCUGUCACUGUCAGACGGGGAAAGAUAUGCCCAUUAGUAGUGCAUCUUUAUUAAGUUUGAGGAGAAAGAGUAAUUAAUUCAUCUUGUGGCAUGCGUCCACACUUGUUAACAAAUUAACCCUUUUUAAUUUGUGUCUUAAAAGUACUUUUGUUAACAUUUGCAACCGAAGAUAUGAUCUACUUUUGCUAAUAGUGGUAAAAAAAGAGGAUCCAGAUUUCCAGAUUCUAUGUUGUACAGAAUUAUUCUUUGCCAACAAUAAUUUUGCUAAGUUGCUCUUGCCUCUCAGUGUUAUUAGUAUGAAUAUUCUAUGCAGCUGAACUUAUUUGCUAGAGAGAAUUAGAAACACAAGGAUUGAUUACUGAUGAAAGAACCACACAUAGAUAUAUGUUUUCUCCAUUGGCCAGCAAUUCAACUGCAUGUUUUAGGAACCACAAAUAGCUUUGGGUAAUAUUAUCUUCAGAAACCCUGCCCUGCCGCCCCUCUGGUCCUUAUCACCAUCGCGCUCCUGCGCACAGGCGUCUCCCCGCUGCCUCGGCGCCUUCCGUAGCAGGUUAGGGCGGAGCUGAGAAUGAGGCAUCCGCACACCACUAUUCCUCCCUUUGAGCGCCGUUGAUGUGCCCCUGAUUAUCUCCGCCAAGUUUAGCCGCCAACUUCACUGGAAGCUCCACGAUGAUCCAGGUGCCUUCAAGGACAAGCUCAGCGACCUCGACGCUGCACAAGGUGAACGAGCACGGGAAGCCGCUGGCCAGCGAGCAGGAGAAGCUCACCGCGGAGGCUGAUUUCAAAAUUUCAGAUAGAAUGGGGAAGGAUGCCGAAGAUGUAGGGGACCAUUCAAGGGAAGAGAAGAUGCGCGUUUUUCCUUCCUAACCAUUUGAGUAGUGUUGUGUGCAAUUUAUGCUUGUUUUGAAAAUUUGGUUGUAAAUGUUGAAUUUAUCUCCAAUCAUCUGUUGUUCUGUAAUUUCUACAAACUUUCAUAUUUUCGCAUGAAUUUUUUAAAA